rnacentral:rRNA from 1 species
CCUACGGGCGGCAGCAGUGGGGAAUAUUGGACAAUGGGGGGAACCCUGAUCCAGCCAUGCCGCGUGUGUGAAGAAGGCCCUCGGGUUGUAAAGCACUUUCAGUGAGGAAGGACGCCUGGUGGUUAAUACCCAUCAGGAAAGACAUCACUCACAGAAGAAGCACCGGCUAACUCCGUGCCAGCAGCCGCGGUAAUACGGAGGGUGCGAGCGUUAAUCGGAAUUACUGGGCGUAAAGCGCGCGUAGGUGGCUUGAUAAGCCGGUUGUGAAAGCCCCGGGCUCAACCUGGGAACGGCAUCCGGAACUGUCAAGCUAGAGUGCAGGAGAGGAAGGUAGAAUUCCCGGUGUAGCGGUGAAAUGCGUAGAGAUCGGGAGGAAUACCAGUGGCGAAGGCGGCCUUCUGGACUGACACUGACACUGAGGUGCGAAAGCGUGGGUAGCAAACAGGAUUAGAUACCCGAGUAGUC